UUAGUUGAUCGGUAGUUUUCAUCUUCUUUCUUUGUUUAACUCUUAGACAAUCAUGGGUGUUCUCACGUUGAAUGUAGAGGAUACAAGCACUCUCCCCCCUGAAAAGUUGUUCAAACUUUUUGUCCUUCAGUUCGACACCCUUCUGCCCAAAGUCCUGCCUCAGGUUGUAAAGAACGUUGAAUUGAUUUCAGGGGAUGGAGGCCCUGGAAGCAUCAAGAAGUUUAACUUUGUUGAAGGUUAGAUUUACUUUUAUAACUUUUAAGAUACAACAACUGUAAACUAACGUACUUUAUAGCCAUAGCUUAAAUCCACAACUGCUAAAUGGAAAUACCAAAUAGAGCCUAAUUUCAUAUAUGCAAUUAUAAGUUGUAAAACUAACUUUUUUUUUUGUUUAAUUGCAGGUGCUGAUUGGAAGUACUUUAAGCAUAGGGUUGAUGCAUUGGACAAAGAGAACAAGAUAUACAAUUACACGGCAAUUGAAGGUGAGGGUGAUGCUAACAUCCCUACUAUUGAUCAUGUUUCUUAUG
rnacentral:lncRNA from 1 species